ensembl:lncRNA
CCCAUGCCCCCCUUCCCCGCUGCACUGCAUUAUGGGUAAGGAGGUCCGGAGAUAGUUUAGCACGACGGUGUGUUCGCUUCACUACCACUCGGUGCACGUCACAAACGCACGCACACACGCACGCACCCGCACAAACACACGCAAACACACACACACACCGAGGGGCACUCGCCCUCUUUUCUCACUCAUGCGACCACGAUGAACUUCUCUGUUCUACCAAACGCAUCAAAAGGAACCUCUACUCGUUGGCUGUAAAGUGACCUUCCAACGAGGUCGUCCGCCGGCCUAGCCGAGCGGUCGAGCGGCCGGACGGACCUAUCAGAGCACAGCGUCCCCCUCCCCCCCCCGAAACACAGGCACCGCGUCCCCAACUGGUUCAUUACCGUUUUGUGUCCGAGCGGUUCACCACCGCUGCCGUGGGUAUCGAUCGAUCCAACGCCGUUAUGUUCCUCGCUCUCCUCACCGCACUCGCUUCACGCACUCGUCCUUGGUUCUGUUUUUCGUUUUUUUGUACGUGACAAUCAUGUUUUAUAUUCUGCUGUGUGGUCGUGCCGUACGGGGUGAUGACUGAGGGGGUUUUCUGGAAGGUUUCGUUGAACUCUGGCUGAACACACUCCUCUGGUGGUUGUUCCCAUGAUGCACUGCCCCCACCACGUACUUAACCUGACACCAAACCCUUACCUAAACGUAUCGACCGCUGACUUUAUAACUAAAUCUAAUCAUCUCUUAACCAUCGAUAACCUAUAACCUAAAAUAAGUAUUUCUAAGCUGUUACCUCAACUAAAUCCCCUCGAACAUAAUACCUAAACCAAACCGUUUAUAACCUAUUUCCCAAACUUAACCAGAUCUCGCCUAAUAUCCAAAUUUUACCAUCUCUAGCCAAAUCCUUCACUUAACCAUCUCUGACCUAAUGCAUAAACGUAACCAUGUACAACCUUAUACCUGAACUUAACCCUAAAUCCAUGUCUACGGUCGUGGUUCUUGUUUCAGCCUAGAUCUGGUUAUGAACAUCUCUACCCUAACACCCAAACCGAACCUCUCCCAUUACUUCCAAAUCAAACACUUUACCUCCACUGUAUCGUCCAGUAACUAUACGUCGUACUUAAUGUCCGAACUCUCGCUCGGAGGAUCCCCCCAGACGAGUGUGUGUAGCUCAGACACGGAUGGGGACUUUGUCGAUGGCCGGCGUGGUGAAUGUGUAGUUUUACUACGAGCCGCGACCGGUGAACUCAGUGCCCUGAUCUCAGACAAUCGUCCACACCGCUGUGUUCCGGAGCCCUUUCACCAUCUUAAAAUGUGUAGACUACCGAUAUCUUUCUUCGUCAUUCGUCGUUUAUUUCGGGUUUUUAUCGUUAACGUUGUACCACUGUCUAGUCUGUUGUUUACAGUCUUCGUUUACUUUCUUUGUUCGGGAGUAAAAAGGGAAAAGUUGAUCCUGGGUGUCUGCGGAGACCAAUGGACAGACAGGAAGGAGAGUUCUUAAGACCACCUUUAUUUAGCUCCAACCAUUCCACUAGGAUAGCAUUAGCGCCGUCAACUUUUUCCGACGCUCUGAUAAAUCGGGGAGUUGAGCGAGCGUCCGAUCUUUUAGGCUUCGGUGUCAAAAAGUUGACAGCCCGGCAAUUUGACCAUUCGAUCCCUCUCUCUACCCUCUCCCUCCCUUUCUCUCUCCCCCUCUCUCUCUCCUCCCCCUCUCCCUCUCUCCCCUUCCCUCUCUCUCCCCCUCCUCUCGCUCCCCGGUCAUCCCCAUGCAGCCAGACGUGCCUUCUGCUUGUUACGUAGCGUGUCUCGGUAGUGAC